rnacentral:lncRNA from 1 species
CAAUCCCUGUGAGCCGAGCUUGAUUCUGGGCAUUUUCACAUUGCUUUCGGCAGCCAUUAUUCAGGAAUCCCCGUCUAUGUUAAUGGAUACUGAAUCGAAUGGGAGGAACAGGUAAAAUAAUCAGGGUUGGUCUACAGUGCAGAGAUAAUUAGAGCGUGUUUGAUUGUGAGAAAAUAUUACUUAAAAAAAAAAAUAUUUCUCAUCUUUUGUGAAAAAUAAAAAUCACUUGAAAAUAUUUUCCUUAAAAAUAAGAAAAAUUAGGCGUAUUUUCAAAAGUUGAAAAAUAUUUUUCAUGGAAAAAAAAUAGCAAUCAAACACUCCAAGUGAAAAUUUGGUUAGAAAGCUAAUAUUUUCCAUGAAAAAUAAGUGUGUUUGACAUGGAAAAUAUUACCUAGAAAAGAAAAUAUUUUCCAUCUUUUGUGGAAAAUAAAAACCACCUCUACCCAAGGAAAAUAUUUUCCUUAAAAACAAGGAAAAUAAGACAUAUUUUCAAGAGUUGGAAAAUAUUUUUCAUAGAAAAAAAUAGCAAUCAAACACUCUAAGUGAAAAUUUGGAUGGAAAACUGAUAUUUUCCAUGGAAAAUAAAUAUAAUCAAACACACCCUUAUUGUUUGUAGCUGGGUUAAUCUUGUCUUAUUUUUCUUUCUAGACUCACUAUUAUUCUACUAAAUAUUAAUUUAUUUCAAUUAGGUCACUAAACUUUGAUUUAGUUUCACAUUACACCAUUAUAUCACAUUUCAUCUUCUAUAUUCCCAAACUAACGAAAUUUAAAUAGCUGGCAUCCAUAUUAUAAUCGAUCAUUCAUGUAAUCAUCUUGGGUACCCUAAAAAUGAAAAUCACAAUAUAAAAAUUAUUGUAAUUAUUUAACUCCCUGUUUGAUAGAGAUUAAAAUAUUCAAAUUUUAGUACAAGUCAAAAUUAACAAUUAUUUUUACCAAAAAUUUCAUGAAACACAACUUUUUAAUCACAAUUUAAUCAAUUUAUUAAAAAACUGAUUUUAAUCUCCACCCAACAAGGUAUUAGAUUAAAAUGUUUAAGUAUUUUUCUUAUCCGCUUUAUCACCUUUAGGACGUGGCAUAAUAGUAAAUUGACAUCCCACACAAAAAUCAAAUGCAAUGUGGUCUCGAGUAUUCUAUAAGUUUGGGAGACGAAAUGUGACAAUUACAUAAAAACAAAAACAAAAAUAAAAACAAAUUUAGUCCAAUGACCCAAUUGUAUCUAAAUUGAAGUAUAGGGAACCAAUUAAGCGGAAUUUGUCUAAAAGUUCAGUGACCAUAAUUGAAAUUCACCCUUCCCCCGUCUCCCCCACCCCCCACUCCCCCAACUUUCAUUUUGCUUACGUAAGAGAUGACACAAGAAGUUGAAGAAGAAAAAUAACAUUAGAAAUUUAUGUGAUGGUAGGUGAAGAUGAAUUAUCAUUAUGAAGCUAGUCUUGGUGCAGCUGCUUUCCAAGUUGACAAGGGAGGAGCAUUGAAGUUUCCCAAUUCCAAUGUUAUCAUAUUUGACUUUAGCAUGGACUUUAUCCUAAAAUGGUUAGAAUUCCUAUUCCAAUUGAGAGAGACUAGAGAGGCUUACACAGGAUCCCUUCAAAUCAUACACAAUAGAGAGUGAGGGAGUAUUUUUUAGCAAUAUUUUACGCACAUAAGACCCUCAUCAUGUGAGUAUUCUGGAAGGGUUAUGUGGCCCCUACAUAUGGCAAAAAUCAUUCCAAUUUUAGCGUUAUCGACAAAUUUUGGUAAAUCUACAUUAUUUAUUGGGAAAAUUGCAGCAAAGGCCCCAAACCUUGAAAAUAUUAACAGACUUUCCCCAAACUUUUAAUUUGUUGCAAUUGUCAACCCAAAUCUUACGAAACGUUGCAGUUGAGGCCCUUUUGGACGGUUUUCAUCCAAAUGUCUGUUAGUUGACUAAAAAUUUUGACUUUGACCAAUAUUUAAUAUUUUUGGAAGGGUAAAAUAGUAACUCUUAAUUUAUUACAUUAAAAUAAGUUAGAAAUUAAAUUAUAAAAAAUAAGAAAUAAGAAAUUAAAAAAAAAAGAAAAAAAAAAGGCCAGUCAUCUUCUUCCUCUAACCCCCACGUCCAUCCCCAAAAUCAAUUACGCCACCGGACCGCCACCUCCAUCUCCACCCCCACCCCCAGCUAACACACAAAAAUAUGAAGACAAUAAUUCGCCCAUUGCAUCCAACAUAUACAGCAUAUCCCCACCAAUUUGCUGUUGCAUUUUGACAAAUGAAACCUUAGGAAAAUCUGCAUUCUUCACAUCACAAAUGGGAAUGGACCCGAAUUCAUUCACAGCAUAAAAUGAUUCAUAAAAAAUAAAUUACAUCCUCACAAUAUAAUCGUGCUUCGUCAAUGAAUUUCCAGGAAUUUCCCCCUUUUCAUAAUAUGUCAGAUCUCCGUGUCAAUUAAGAAUCGUGAAGGCAAUUAAAUUCGAGUCAUUGUAAGGGUUGUGAGAGAGAAUGACCUUUUGAAUAAAAUAGUCGUGCAUUUUUCUUAGAGUAAUAGACCUCAGCACCUGGAGGCUGGAGUGUGUAUUCACGACCUAUGCUGUAGAAAUCGAAAUUUGAGACAUUUGGGACAGUUGAAGACGCUGGGAAAUUAACUUUGGCACAUGUGAUAGGGUUAAUAAGGAAAAUAGAGCUAACUAGGGAGGAACCAAUGCGGCGAUGGCUGGGGAAUGCUUCUGGUAGCGUGAGGUUGGGAAGGGAGUGGAGUGAGGGGUGGGAGGAAGGAAGGAAGAAGACGAUUGGCCUCUUUUUUUCUUUUUUUUCUUAUUUUUUAUAAUUAAUUUCUAACUUAUUUUAAUGUAAUAAACUAAGAGUUACUAUUUUAUCCUUCCAAAAAUAUUAAAUAUUGGUCAAAGUUAAAAUUUUUAGUCAACUAACGAACAUUUGGAUGAAAAUCGUCCAAAAGGGCUUCCGCUGCUACGUUUCGUAAGGUUUAGGGUGACGAUUGCAACAAAUUAAAUAUUUGGGGAAAGUCUGCUAAUGUUUUAAAGAUUUGGAGCCCCUACUGCAAUUUUCCCUUAUUUAUUCCUUAUUACAAUACUGCUUUCAUUUUGUCGUGGCAUUACCUUUCAUGGGAAGUGUUCUCUUGCAUGACCCUAUUGAUCUUCAACUAUUGCUUGACCGCCCCGCCCCGCCCCGACCCGACCCGAUGGGGACCUCCUCGAAUGGGGGAAAAAUCGGGUCCGACUGGCGGGGUGGGGCGCGGCGCGGUGCCGCGUUGUAGGGCGGGGAGGGACUGACCUUUGAAGAGGAAAAAAAUUAAAAAUAAAUAGACAAUUCACUCGUUAAAAACUCAUUUUGAAUUUGUAUUUUAUUCUCCAAUAAUAGCAUAAUUCGAAAUAAAAAACAAAAAAAAAAGGGGUAGCAAACAAGGCAAAAAGCUGCCCCACCCCACUGCCAUCCCUACAAUUUGUCAAGAUUAACUCCAGCUCGGUUCAAUAAAAUAAUAAAGAGUAAAUAUAUAAAAAAGCACCCAAAAACUAGAUUUCAGCUCAUAGUAAACUGGACAAAUGAUCAUUCAUCAUAGGCUUACUUUGAAAUCACACAAAACUUAACCUCAAUUUUAAAUUUACGAAUAAAUAAAUCCAAACUUCAAAAACGAACCUUUUGGCUCAGUUCAAUGCUUGUUGAGAGCUCAUAACAUAUCAAUAACAAGAGCUAGUUGCAAUCAAAGUUGGUAAAUUUAAAUCACGAGAUACUUAGAGGGAAAUAAAGGGUUAAUCGUGACUUCAAUAGCCAAACGUGAAUCAAUACGAUGUUGGUAAUAUCAAUCAAUAUAAUCAAUUGUUAGAUAUAUAUCAUAUAUUUUAUCUAAAAGAAAGUGAUUAUACUGAGAUAAAUGGUCGAGUGGUCAAAUAUAUAGAAUUUAUGUUGGAGGUCAAUGAUUCAAAUCACAAUCAUUGCGAAUAUUUAAAAUUCUAUGAUUUAGCUUUAGGGCCUUGAACUUUUUUGAUUAAAAUAAUUUUUUUUUUCUUUUAUUAAUGUUGGUUCUUCUCAAUUAUGUUCAAAUUUAUAAUGUCAAACUAGCUAGUAAAAUAUAGUAGUUGGAUGGGAUAAGUUAGUAGUAAUAUAAUAAAAAUAACAGUUUUAUUUUAUUGAAUUAUGAAUUAUUAUUGGGAAGUUACAAUUCCUAGUUGAAAUCAACCACAUCUUAUGUACUUUUAGGCAAAAUCAAUUCUAGAAAUUUUAAUUUUAUUUUGUUCUUGAGCAAAAUUUGAGAGUUUUGGAAAAUGCUUGUGAUUGUUGUAGUGAUUCAAUGGUUGUCUCCUAGGAGUAACUGUUCAAAGAGAUAACAAAUGUUAUCGACAAACAACUUUACUUUAAUAUAUCGUACUGUCACGAAUAAUUGAUCGUUCGAUAAAUCGUCUAAUUUUCUACAUUUAAUUGUUUGAAAAAGGUAAUGAAAUUAAUUUCUCCCUCAUCCCCCCCUUCAAAGCCUUUGCAACUCGAUGGCAAACUGGUACAUAAAAAUUAAAUAUUCAUGUAAUAGCCAAAAAUCUAAGGUGCCAUCUAAGCUCCAUCCCGCGAUGUCAAAUACAUAAACUUUUUUGUAAUAUUAGCAGCCGGAAAUUAACUAUAGAAUUAUUGCAGCGUUAAAGAUAAUGAUAAGUGUGUUUUUAUCAUAGUUAUCAGACUCGGACCGGACCUCAACCCGAAUAAUGCAAUGGGUCAACGGGUCAGUGGUUUAACCGUUGACCCGGUGGUUCAACUGGCGAGUCAAUUCCUAUAAAAAAUAUUAUUAAUUAUUUUCAUUGAAUAAUAAUUUUUUUCCCAUUUUCUACAAAUAACUAUAUUAACUUCAUAUUAUUCUGUCAACUAUAUAUCAAUUUGUAUUCCAAUUUCACAAAUUCUAGAUCAUAUAGAGAGAAAUAUGGAUUUGAAACAAUAAAAACAACAAUCAAUGAUUAAAAAAAACUACUUUAUAUCCAUGUUACAACAUCACAAGCAUUAAUAAAAGUUUUGUCACUCUCCAGGUUACAUGCUACCAGUUAAUCAACCCUUGCAUUAAAACAUCAAAAGAAAAGACUUAUCCAUGAUAACUAGAAAUUCUAGACGAUGUCAAUGAUUUCUCUAAUAUUGCCAAUUAUUGGUAAAGGAAGAAGAAAUGAUACCGAUUCAAUAAAUAAAUCAACAGAGAAACGCAAACUAGAUUGGUAUAAAUCACAGUAGAUAAGAGCUCAGAGAUCCACAAAGCAACUAUUCAAAAGCAUAGCACAUGGACCAACUUAAGCAAAAUAUUAAUCAAAUGAAGUUAGUUCAUCUAAAAAAUAAAUUAAAACCACCAUCAUAAUCCAUUUUUUAGCAACCAGUAACGCAAAAAUACUCGGACGUUAACUGGGUAAUAAUCCAAAGAUGAAGAAAAACUAAACACUAAAUAGAGUCUGCUCUUUAUUCGAGUAAAGCAUACAUUAGGUAUUUUUUAACCAUGACAUCAAGAAGCAAUUGUGGAUAUACACAAGCCUGCCAUCUGAAUCAAAUGUCUAUCCAAGUGAGGAUAUACACCAGCUAGAAAUGAAUAAAUACAUCACCUGAAUCAAAUGCUACAGCAAUGGCUAGAUGAAGCCAACAACUUUUUUCACAUAAUAUUAUAAAUGCCCCUCUAAAUCGAUAAAUUUAAUUAAAAACAGUAAAAAACUACUGGGGUGGCUCCGAUACAUUGUUGAAUACCAAAUUCCACAUUUUUUUUGUUCUAUAAUUCAUAUGCCAUCAUACCCAGGACAAAAUUCCACAUUUUUUUUGUUCUAUAAUUCAUAUGCCAUCAUACCCAGGACAAAAUUCCACAUUUUUUUUGUUUUAUAAUUCAUAUUACUUAAAAAAGGAUUCAUCUGACCGAGACUAACCUGCUCUUCCAUCUUUUAAAACUUGAAAUUGGAGAUUUGGAUUCUUGGGAGUUGAUGAAUUGCAAGAGAUUGAGACCGCGGCUGAGGUUUUUAAUUUUGCAAGAAUCCCUAAUGUCUUAGAAGUUAGAAAUUGUGAGGAGACGACGUGGGGAAGGAAACUGGAAGGAAUCUGUGAGGAAAGGAAAGUGAAACACAGUUACUUAAGAACCGGUCGGGUCAAUCCAAAGUCGGUACCCCGAAUCUAUGUAAAAUCGCCGGUUCUAGCGGGUUGUUGGCAGGCUGAUUUUUCAUCCAUAAAUUCCUCACAAUCGGACCGAUCUGGGUCCGGUUCGACGGGUUCCGAACUGAACCGGCCGAUCUGGUUCGGGUCUGAUAACUAUGGUUUUUAUACACUUAUUGGGCACCUUUAAUAAGCUAAUUAAUGAUGUAAUUGAGUGAAUUCCUAUUCAUAAUUGUGUAAUUAUGGUGUUUGUAGAUUAAAAGUCCAAAUUGAGAGAGAAGAAGGCUAAAGGAAGGGGAAAAAAAAAGGACCAAAAAUAUGACUUUGGGGACUAAGAUGUACAGGUCAAAAAGUUCAAGGACUCAAGUUGCAAAUUAUGAAGGAUUUGAUUGAAAAUAAGUUCAAAAUUUAAGGACUAAAUUAGAUGAAACCAAAGUUGGAGGACCAAACGUGCAAUUCUUUGAUGACCAACUGAAGAGAAGGGAAAAGAAGGCAAGGCGCACGCCUAAGCCUGUAGGUAAGGCACGUGCCUCAACUCCACUUUUGGGCAACUGAGAGCAACCAAAAGGCUAAGGCCCGCGCCUUAGGUUGAAAUUCAAGACCUGUGCGUGCAUUUUAAAUCUUUUUAGGGGCUCUUCUUGCAAUUUGUUUGGGAUGAUUUUUACUCCUUUUAAACACUCUUUUCACCCAUUCUCAACAUUCUUCUUCAUCCAUUUUAAAACCCUAGCUUAGAAAGAAAAGGGGGCGAACAAAAAGGAGAGGAAAAAUCACACAAAGAAGAUAAAAUCUUGGAAAAAUUUAGACCAAAACCAAGCAAGAUUCAAGGAUCCGACCAAGGGACAUGUUUAUUUCUUUGUCAUGUAUUUCACAUUAUAUUUUUCUCAAUUUUUGUGAUGUAUUUCUUUAAUCCUUUCAUUUUGUGCCCUAUAAAUACAAUGAGCAAAACAUUUUGGUGUCGGGAUGAAUGAGGAAGCUUGUCUUAACUAUAUAAAUUUCUUUAUUCACUAUUUUAAUGCUUAUGUUCUUGUAUUUUUACCAUUACAUUGAGUGUAUUAUCAUUAUUGUGGUCACUAUGUGAUAAUGUCUAGUGAUUUGUGUGAUUAUUGAGAAAGUGUUGCACAUUUUAGAUUAAGGUGGUAGAAAUCCUAGGUUCUUGUGGAAAUAGAGAUAAACUCCUACUCUUAGGUAACUUUUGAGUUAUUUUCAUUGAUAUUUAAUGCUUUUGAUUGUGCUUAAUCAACAUAGAAAUAUAACAGGUUAAACCAAUUGAUUAUGGUUAGUUUCACUUGAGAAAUGUAAUUAACUAAAAUAGGAAAAUCGGGUUUGACAAGAAAACUGAGUAAUGUUCUAUUGACUUGUUAUGAAGAAUUAAUUUAGUGACUGCAAAAUGAAAUCAUGAAUCCUAACCUGACUAAAAUCCAACUUUGACCAUAACUGUAAUUGGGUAUUUUAUUUGAAUGCUUAGAAGUAUAUUCUUUUAAUCUUUAAAUUCAAAGAUAUUAAUUAUUUAAAUUCAAAGAUAUUAAUUAUUUAAAUUCAAAGAUAUUAAUUAUGUGUGUCAUGACUAUUAUUUGGAUCAACUCUCGUGUAAUUGGACUAAACACUCUUCAAGGGAUCACUUAGACUCAAAAAGUUCACACUAUUACGUGUGCGCGACCCCUGCACUUGCGAUGUAGCAUUUUAGUAAACAGGUAACAUCAAUUAAAUAUAAUAGUCACGACAUAAUGACUGACCUUAUACAAUAAAAAACAAUUUCAAGAAUCAUUGAUAGGAAUAAGAACCCAAACCUUCAAUGAGCAAUUCUAUGUUCAAAUGCUGGAUUCUAAGACAAGAACAUUCUUGCGGGGCGUCCUACUUUGCAUAAAUAUGAAAAUAAUAAUCAAUAUGUGAUGAUGUAAACUGCUCCCUCUUAACAUUGGUAUUUUAAGAUAGAAUUCAAGAUUCGAUAUAUAGACUUCAAAGAAACACACAAAAUAUAGACUAAUUUUUAUAGAUCCUGGAGUGUUACUAAAAAAUUGAUUUUCUUCACGUAAAUGAGGCAACAUAAAAAUAAAAAAAUUCCUUCAUUUUCAAUGAUAAAUAAUAACUAUAUGCUGACCAAAACAUGAAGUUUAUAUCUUUUCGAAACGACUUUGAUCGACCAGAACUAACUAUAAAUAAUAAACUAGAUAAUAGAAAACUUAACGAUUCCAUUGUCUUCAAAUCAUGUUGACAAUCCUCAUCACCAUUCUAUAACAAAUUUGAUAACUAAUUGUAAAUUUUGUAAAAGUGAGUAUUUAACACUAGCUAGUAAAAAUACAUAUGAUUUCUAUAACAUAAUUAAAUAAAUCAAUAAAAUAGAUAUUGAUUGGUACAUAUAUAUUAAUAAAAUAAAAUAAAUUUAACUUUUAUCCGAAUCACUUUGCACAUGUUUGUUUAUCAUUCUCCAUAAACUCUUUUUUUUUUCUUUCUCUUUUUUUUUUUUUUUUUUUUAAACUUUUUUUCAAUUUUUUAACUAAACUUUUUUUUAAACUCAUUUUCAACUUUUUAACUAGACAUGCUCUAAGAAUCACUAUUCCAAAACUCCAAUCAAUCGAAUAUUGAUUAAUGCGUAAUUGAUCGAACACUACUUGCAAAUGGCUUUUUUGCUCAGAAACAUUUAAAAAAAAAAAAACUCUCUUUAUUGGACAUCAAAUAGGGGCUUAAUUAGUACAUAAGCAUAUAUACAAACAUGUAAUCAUGGCCGCCUAUUUCUUGAGUCCAACUUAUUUGGAUUAACUUUUCUCGAGCCAUAGUGCAUCAUUUAAUACGAGAUUAGUUUUUAACCCUACAAUAUUUAAUUAUUUGACCCGAAUAAAAAUAUUGUAUUAAACACUUAUUUUCUCUUUAGUCGAUCAAUGAUUUAAAAUUAUCAAAAAGCUCCUAGGUCAAAAUUCUUAUCGCUAGAUAUUCUUAUUCUAUAAAAUUUCCAGAGGAUAGAUUUGCUAUGUUAUUCUAUCUUAUGGGUCACAUUUCACAUCAAGACCAGAAAUAGAAAAAUUAGUUAGAAGGUGUAAAUAUGAAAAAUUGAUUGAUUAAAUUGCAAUGAGACAAAUUAAGACGAUCAAUUUAAGACCAAAAAAAGAGUGAAAAAUGGGAAUAUUCUUUAAAAUAUGGUAACCUAACAAUCUUAAUUUUCCAUUGUUUUGAUGGUAACCUCACUUUGAGCUUUUAGACCGCAUUCUAAUUGUAGAUUUCUUGUUAAUCGACAAAAGAGAAAUGUAGACUUGGAAUCUUUAAUACCUUGAACCAUACAAAAGAGAAAUGUAGAGUUGCAAUAUUUAAGUUUAAUACCUUGAACCAUGCGAUUAUAUCUCCUACCUAAUGAUUAUGAACCAAUAACCGAUUGAAGAGAAAAUUAUUGAUACGAAUCCCUUUGGCCUAUCCACAAAUAUGGUAAGGCAUUCCCAAGUCCUAUUUGAAUUAAUCUAUGGAGAUUACGACAAAUUCCAUUCAUGAUUUGAAUUUUUAUAACAUCAAGAUUAGAUGUACCAAACAAAAAGGAAUAUCAUUAAGUAAAUUCAUAUGAAAUUUAUCCCAAAGAUUAGUAACGAAGUCAUUUACAAUGAAACUAACUACUAUUAACUAACCAAUCGUCUACUUCUCAAGACUCGAGUAUUCAUGGUUGUCUUGGAUCCUACAAAAUACCUAUGUGAUGGAACUUAUAAACUUUCGUAGUUUGGCUGAUAAAACUCAUUAGAGACAAAAGUGAAAAAACAUGGACCAACGAUAAAUCGGUCCGGUUAGUGCUUGAAAUCAAACUAGUUACAGUGACUACCAAAAGCUCUAGCAUGCCCAAGUAUUUUCCGAGCCAAGGCAAAGAUCAAGAGCUGGCCAAACGUCAACCCGCACACAUGGUCUUACAACUAUGCCGAAAAAAUGGGAGAAACCCCAACCUCAUAAACCAGUUCACCUUUGACCCUUUUCGCAAUCUGUCUGGUUGAAUUUAUAAAAUUUUAGUAAAUUUUUGCUGGCUGGUUUUAAAAGCACAAUUGGUAUGUUUAGAAAGGUUUGUUCAUGAGCUAAAAAAACUUUUAGUUUCACUUUAGAAGUUGUAAGUCUUUAAAGCUAAACUCGAAAUUAUAGAUAUAAAAUAACUAUCAAAUUAAAUCCCAACAGUUUUCAAGGAGAUAAAAUUUCUAGCAAUGAAAACUGCUUGCUUAGAACAUUUGAUGCCAAUUUUAUUUCGACCUCUUCACUCCAAUGGCAAAACGGGCAGGCACAAAGUGAUCACACAUGAUAAGGUAUUAUUAUGAGAUAGAUAAAGCGUUCUUUAUGCGGCUGCUUUCCAGGUUGACAAAGGUGGCGUGUCUGAAUCUUUCCAUGUAGGGAUAUUGGGUCCAUAUCUCUCGCCCUUGACAGCAUCGGCCGAAGUAAUAGAUUCAAGUUCGGCCAUGUCUUCUUCCGUCAGUUUUACAGACAAUGCUCCCAUGUUUUCAUUAAGGUUCGUAGAUUUCGUUGUACCAGGUAUCGGACAAACAUCAUUUCCUUGAUGAUGUACCCAGGCCAAAGCAAGCUGUGAAGGGGUACAUCCCUUUCUAUUUGCAAUAUCCUUGACCCUCUCGAAUAAGCUCUUAUUAAGCUCCAGAUUCUCGGGUUGGAAUCUUGGUAGACGCUGCAAAAUGUAAAAAGAGUUUUAGCAUAUACAUCAGUUUCAAUAUUGAUAAUUAAGAUUGUAAAACUACACAUUUUAAAAGCAGGAACAUCAACUAAUAACGUGCACGCUUCAAGGGGAAAAACUUGUAGCAGGCAUUAGAACUAUGUAACGACAAAAUUUAAGACUAGGACUCCAUUUGGUACAGCAUUAUCAUUGAAAAGAGGGAUUAAUGCUGACUGAAAUUCAUCAAACAGUUCACUUGGAUGCUCAACUCAACAGGUCUUAUAGAAAUACAAAAUUAAGGUAAUAUAAUUGUGGAACACCACCUAUUUUCAGAAGCUUAAGUUUUCCAGUUCUCUUCUAAGGAUGAUAUCGUCAUAUUAUACUGAAGUGGUGGACUUUUAUCUUGAAAUAUAAAUCAAGAGAGAGAAAAGAAUUACUUACAUUGUUUUGGUAACUGUAAUGUGAAUGUAUUGCUACCAGCAUGUUUGGUUAAACUUUAAAAGUUUACUUAAUAAAUAUGUGUGUGUGUGUAUUAUGGUAAAAGUUGAAAAUAAGUAAUUUAUUUUGACACCAAAAUAAAAGUUAAUUUUAAAAAUAUAUAACGUUUUUAUUUAAAAUUUAGACAAAAGUAAGUUAUAUGCGUAUGCAAACAUAUUUGAAAACAAAAAGUUACUUAAAAGUAGUUGUUUAUCUUUUUGGAGCUUACGCAAACAUGAUCUUGAAUAAUUAUAUGUUCAAAAGCUUGCAUUUCAAGUGAGGGCAUAACUUAUAUUCAUAAUUCCAGAGAUACUUAGAUAUUAUGUGUAUCAUAAAUCCAAAAAAUGGUGGUGUGCACAAUGGCUACACAAAAUAAUUCAUGGUUGAAUAGGAAGCUCAUAGGUGAUAGAAGAAUAAAACAAACCAACCUUUCGAAAGUCCACUUCAGAGAAAGUUUCAACGACUUUUGGACCGGAGGAGAAGAAUCCCCGUCCAAGAGGACUGUAUGCUACUAUUCCAAUGCCAAGUUCUCUAAACAAUUGUACCAAGGAUGUUUAGAUUUAGAACUCUAUAUUUCUUACUGGCUUGAAAUAUAAAACCAUUACAAUAAUCAUCAAACCUGCAAGUGGGAAUUAUUUCUACCUCAGCAUCUCUUGUCCACAAAGACCACUCCAACUGCACUGCUGAAAUUGGAUGAACAGCAUGCGCCCUUCUGAUUGUAGAAGGUGAGGCCUCUGAUAGACCAAUAUAUUUUACUUUACCUUCUUCCACAAGUUUCUUUAGUUCUCCCAUCUUGCAAAAAGAGGGAUCCAAAGUAAUUAGGAGAGGCUUAAGAAAGAAACAUGCGGAAUCAAAUCUAAGAAUAAAAGGGAGACAUCCAUAUAUAUAUAAUCAAAUAUGUACAACAAUAGGCAGGUUGAACAACAAUAGGCAGGUUAUGUUGGCUGUAGGAACUACUCUACUAUAGUGCCAUUCCUGAAGAUUCCAUGUCACAUUUUCUAGAUUUAUCAAAGGUUUGAAUUGUGAGAUUAAACCAAAACUCUUUUUUAUACAUCAUUAGAGGAAGGUCGGGUUAUAGUUAGCUAUUAAAAUUGAUAAGUACCUCCAAUCUCAUCCAGUUAGAUGUGCACCUCACGUGUCAGAAGAUUCUCAACAGUUUCACCCUACUUCAUUCACUAAGUCCAGUAUUGAAUCUCAGUUUUGCAUAUCAUUGAACAACAAAUAGACAAAGCCACAGACCCAAACACUACUGUUAAGACUAAAAAGAUUCGGGGUAGCGAUCGACUUCUAAAUAUCUCCAUCAUGGCUGGAUGCAAGAAAAGCUGUAUUCUUUCAUCAGACUUCAAAAGUUCCGGGGUUCGUGCCCCCCCCAGCAUUUUUCCAUUACAUUAAUAUUUAUUAAGCUGCUAACUAGAUUCGAAAAUCUUGUAGAUUUCACUUAACGAAACAGCAGAAAUAAUGGAGGAAAGAGCAGUAGUAUAGUUUUGUCCUCACUCUGUCAUUAUUCUGAAAUAGCGGUGUAAUGCUUCCCUUCUACAUUGACUAUACUCAGGUUGUAGUGAAUACUCGAAUUUACAUUGAUCACGUGGUAUGGUGCUAACUUGUUCAAAAGUAUGUCUAUUCAACUCCAAUUACAUAACAUGGUUAACAUAAUUGAUGAAACCAUUAAACUAUCACUUCGCUUUGUCUCUAAGGUUAAAUUAAAGUUAGAACUUAGAGAAAGCACAACCUACUUGAGUGGGUUGAUCAAAGCUGAUUGAGAACAAUACUGUAGUCAAGAAGACAGACUUAUAAUUCACCAAUUUGUCAAGAUUAACCCAAGCUUGGUUCAAUAAAACAAUAAAUAGUAAACAUAUACAAAGGCAACAAACAACUAAAGUUCAAUUUAUAAUCAGCAAGAUAUAUGCUUGUUCAGUGUAGGCUCAAUUUCAAAUUUAUUAAGAUAUCAAACCAAGUUCCAACAACCCACCUUUCGGCUCAGCUCAUUGGUACAAAUGUGGAAAAGCCCGUAACAUAUAGAUAACAAGAGCUACAUAUGCUCACACUAAGUAAAACAAAAUUAUGAGAGAUAUAAAGACAAUCAAAAGAGAACACAGGGUAAACCGUGACUUCAAUAGGCACACGUGUAUCAAUGCGAUGUUGGUAAUAAAGAUCAAUGCAAUCAACAUCAAGCCGCUUCAAGCUAGCCUCGCAGGCAGCCCGUACAUAGGCUGGGUCGCCGCAUAUGUCAUUCUUCCCAUCAGCAAGUCUAAACCCGAAUUUCGUAGCUAACUCCACUUUCUCCCUCAUUCCAUCCUUCAAAGCCUAUGCAAAGCCACGAUUUGAUACCAAACAGUAGAUGAACAUUACAAAAACAUUGAUACGUUAAAGAUGGGCAACCCAUCCAAGAAGCGAAAGACACUAAACAGACUAGCCAGGUUAAGGUUCAAGACGGCCUAUGCAAAGCCACAAUUUGAUGCCAAACAGUAUAUAAACACUACAAAAGCAUUGAUACGUUAAACAUGGACAACCCCUCCAAGAAGUGACACUAAAUAGACUAGCCAGAGUAAGGUUAGAGACUAGUGUCCAUAAGAGUAAUAAUGAAGCUGUAAAUUUGCCUGAAAAAUUUGUCCUUCUCCAGCAAAAAAGGAGUUACUUUGAUAGCAUUUCCCCAAUCAAUGAGACAGUCCCAAGAAUAACGAAAGGAAGUUAAAACGUAUAUGGCCAUAUGACGAAGGCCUCACAACGAAGAUAACACCUUAAUCUAGUUCUGUUGAGUUCCACGAAUACCAGAAAAAGAUUAAAAAUUGGAAGAAACUACCAAUUUAUAAACUACAUAAAAAUAAAAAAACCAAAUAUUUAUGGGAAAAAAAACCUUAAACCAAAUUAAGGGUUUAAAUUCCAUGACUUAGUUAAACAAUAUACCAAUAAAUAAAUAAAUAAUAGAAAUAGGAAAUAAAAUGUAUAAGGAAUCUGAAUCAAUCACCAUACAAGCUCAGUCUUCCCAGUUCCCAAAUCUUGUACAACAUUUAAGAAUAAAAAACAACACAAUAUAUUCUAUUUCUGCAACUAAUAUUUUACACUUUUUCUUAUAUAUUUAGAAAUAAACAGAAUUGAGAAAUUCCAUGUGUAAUUACUAAUUAAAGUUGCAGAAAUACAAGUGCAUCUAUGUCUGUGUCUGUGUGUUGGGGUUAAGGAAAUAGGGUAAGAGUACCUACCUUCCCGAGGAGGAUUUCAUUGGUUUUCGGCCCAUAGAUGUCGGAGGUAUCAAGGAACGUGAUGCCGGAAUUUAGUGCAUAGUGAAUGAGUUUGAUCAUGUCGGGCCCGGGCUUCGGCUGGCCGAAAUGUGGCGUCAUGCCCAUGCAUCCGAGUCCUUGCACAGACACUUCCAAUCCCUGUGAGCCGAGCUUGAUUCUGGGCAUUUUCACAUUGCUUUCGGCAGCCAUUAUUCAGGAAUCCCCGUCUAUGUUAAUGGAUACUGAAUCGAAUGGGAGGAACAGUUCAAAUAAUCAGGGUUGGUCUACACUAGACAUAAUUAUUGUUUGUAGCUGGGUUAAUCUCGUCUUAUUUUUCUUUCUAGAAUCAC